AUGGAGUUUGAAUACAGAUCACAAGACAUACCAUAUUUCACUUUCUUCUUCUUCUUCUUCUUCUUCUUCUUCUUCUUCUUCUUCUUCUUCUUCUUCUUCUUCUUCUUCUUCUUCUUCUUCUUCUUCUUCUUCUUCUUCUUCUUCUUCUUCUUCUUCUUUCUCCUUCUUCUUCUUCUUCUUCUUUCUUCUUCUUCUUUCUUCUUCUUCUUUCUUCUUCUUCUUUCUUUCUUCUUUCUCCUUCUUCUUCUUCUUCUUCUUCUUCUUCUUCUUCUUCUUCUUCUUCUUCUUCUUCUUCUUCUUCUUCUUCUUCUUCUUCUUCUUAUUCUUCUUCUUCUUCUUCUUCUUCUUCUUCUUCUUCUUCUUCUUCUUCUUCUUCUUCUUCUUCUUCUUCUUCUUCUUCUUCUUCUUUCUCCUUCUUCUUCUUCUGUUGUUGUUUGA
rnacentral:lncRNA from 1 species